CACCUUUCUUUUGAUCUCCGCCACUGCUUGCACUGCUGAAUACUCUGAGGAAGCACCAGCAACUCUGUAAAUUUUACAGCGUCGCUAGGGUAGCUGCCCUCUGUGUGGUACUGCUCACUCGGAUCACGAGAAACCUCCACCACUAAGCUGGACCGUCUGAAUGAUACUUGAUCUAAACACACUAAAUAUUGGAUCCUGAUGAUGAUCAUCGUCAUUGACCUUUCUCUCGCC
rnacentral:misc_RNA from 1 species